rnacentral:rRNA from 1 species
UUGGAGGGCAAGUCUGGUGCCAGCAGCCGCGGUAAUUCCAGCUCCAAUAGCGUAUAUUAAAGUUGUUGCAGUUAAAAAGCUCGUAGUUGAAUUUCGGGGUUAGUAGGUUGGUCAUGCCUCUGGUAUGUACUGGUCUCACUGAUUCCUCCUUCCUGAUGAACCGUAAUGCCAUUAAUUUGGUGUUGCGGGGAAUUUGGACUGUUACUUUGAAAAAAUUAGAGUGUUUAAAGCAGACUAACGCUUGAAUACAUUAGCAUGGAAUAGUGAAAUAGGACGUUCGAUCCUAUUUUGUUGGUUCCUAGGAUUGACGUAAUGAUUAAUAGGGAUAGUUGGGGGCAUUAGUAUUCAAUUGUCAGAGGUGAAAUUCUUGGAUUUAUUGAAGACUAACUACUGCGAAAGCAUUUGCCAAGGAUGUUUUCAUUAAUCAAGAACGAAAGUUAGGGGAUCGAAGACGAUCAGAUACCGUCGUAGUCUUAACCAUAAACUAUGCCGACUAGGGAUCGGAUGAUGUUAAUUUUUUAAUGACUCAUUCGGCGCCUUACGGGAAAC